GGGAAUGUAGCUUAGUGGUAGAGUGCUUGCCUUGCAUGCAUAAAGCCCUAGGUUUGAUUCCUCAGUACCA
rnacentral:tRNA from 1 species